rnacentral:rRNA from 1 species
UACGUAGGGGGCAAGCGUUACUCGGAAUUACUGGGCGUAAAGCGUGCGCAGGCGGUUUGGUAAGACAGAUGUGAAAUUCCCGGGCUUAACCUGGGAACUGCAUUUGUGACUGCCAGGCUAGAGUGCGGCAGAGGGGAGUGGAAUUCCGCGUGUAGCAGUGAAAUGCGUAGAUAUGCGGAGGAACACCGAUGGCGAAGGCAACUCCCUGGGCCUGCACUGACGCUCAUGCACGAAAGCGUGGGGAGCAAACAGG